AUUGUUAAGGAACUCGGCAAAAUGACCCCGUAACUUAGGGAGAAGGGGUGCCUGUCUAUGACAGGCCGCAGAGAAUAGGCCCAAGCGACUGUUUACCAAAAACACAGGUUUCUGCUAAGUCGCAAGACGAUGUAUAGGAGCUGACGCCUGCCCGGUGCUGGAAGGUUAAGGGGAUCUGUUAGAGCAAUCGAAGCAGUGAACUUAAGCCCCAGUAAACGGCGGCCGUAACUAUAACGGUCCUAAGGUAGCGAAAUUCCUUGUCGGGUAAGUUCCGACCCGCACGAAAGGCGUAACGAUUUGGGCACUGUCUCAACAAUAGACUCGGUGAAAUUGUAAUCCCGGUGAAGAUGCCGGGUACCUGCGACAGGACGGAAAGACCCCAUGGAGCUUUACUGUAGCUUGACGUUGGGUCUUGGUACUACAUGUACAGGAUAGGUGGGAGACUAUGAAGCAUGGACGCCAGUCUGUGUGGAGUCAUCCUUGGGAUACCACCCUUGUAGUACUGGGAUCCUAACCAUAGGCCUUGAAUCAGGUCUUGGAACACCGUCAGGUGGGCAGUUUGACUGGGGCGGUCGCCUCCUAAAAAGUAACGGAGGCGCUCAAAGGUUCCCUCAGCACGGUCGGAAAUCGUGCGAAGAGUGUAAAGGCAAAAGGAAGCUUGAUUGCAAGACAUACAGGUCGAGCAAGGACGAAAGUCGGACUUAGUGAUCCGGUGGUACCGCAUGGAAGGGCCAUCGCUCAACGGAUAAAAGCUACCCUGGGGAUAACAGGCUUAUCUCCCCCAAGAGUCCACAUCGACGGGGAGGUUUGGCACCUCGAUGUCGGCUCAUCACAUCCUGGGGCUGUAGUAGGUCCCAAGGGUUGGGCUGUUCGCCCAUUAAAGUGGUACGCGAGCUGGGUUCAGAACGUCGUGAGACAGUUCGGUCCCUAUCCGUCGCAGGCGUAGGAAAUUUGAGAAGACCUGUCCUUAGUACGAGAGGACCGGGAUGGACGUACCUCUGGUGUACCAGUUGUUCUGCCAAGGGCAUGGCUGGGUAGCUAUGUACGGAAGGAUAAGCGCUGAAAGCAUCUAAGCGCGAAGCCAACUUCAAGAUAAGAUUUCCCACCGUAAGGGUAAGACCCCAGGAAGACUACCUGGUUGAUAGGUCGAAGGUGUAAGUGCAGUAAUGUAUUUAGCUUAUCGAUACUAAUAGGUCGAGGACUUGACC
rnacentral:rRNA from 1 species